GAAUGAUGUGAAGAUUGUAGUAUAUUGAUAGCUGUUAUGAUAGCUCCUUAUCAUGAAUUAGCUCUAGCUUAUCAUUC